rfam:Myceliophthora thermophila ATCC 42464 chromosome 4, complete sequence.
UCUUCCGUAGUAUAGUGGUCAGUAUGUGAGCUUGUCACCUCGUGACAUCCACGCUCGAGACCCGGGUUCAAUUCCCGGCGGGAGAG